rnacentral:rRNA from 1 species
GUAGACCGCCUGGGGAGUACGGCCGCAAGGUUAAAACUCAAAUGAAUUGACGGGGGCCCGCACAAGCGGUGGAGCAUGUGGUUUAAUUCGAUGCAACGCGAAGAACCUUACCUACUCUUGACAUCCUGGGAAUUUGGUAGAGAUACCUUAGUGCCUUCGGGAGCGCAGAGACAGGUGCUGCAUGGCUGUCGUCAGCUCGUGUUGUGAAAUGUUGGGUUAAGUCCCGUAACGAGCGCAACCCUUGUCCUUAUUUGCCAGCGCGUAAUGGCGGGAACUCUAAGGAGACUGCCGGUGACAAACCGGAGGAAGGUGGGGACGACGUCAAGUCAUCAUGGCCCUUACGAGUAGGGCUACACACGUGCUACAAUGGUCGGUACAAAGGGUUGCCAACUCGCGAGAGGGAGCCAAUCCCGAAAAGCCGAUCUCAGUCCGGAUCGGAGUCUGCAACUCGACUCCGUGAAGUCGGAAUCGCUAGUAAUCGUGGAUCAGAAUGCCACGGUGAAUACGUUCCCGGGCCUUGUACACACCGC